UUUAAAACAGCUUAUAGAGCCAACUCAUCCCUGUUACAAAAUGGUGAGAAGAGUUUAAAGUAGAGGUGAUACACCUAUCGAGCUUAGAGAUAGCUGGUUAUUCAAAAAAGGGAUUUAAGUCCCACUUUAAGUUUUCCUAGUACUACAAAACACUCAAUAAACUUAAAAGCCAUUCAAAUAAGGUACAGCCUAUUUGAACAAGGAAACAACCUAAAAUAUAGGGUAAUCUUUAUUAACAUGGCUAAGUAGACUUAAAAGCAGCCAUCUUCCAAAAAGCGUCCAAGCUUCCCCCCCCCCCCAGUUAUWAAUAAUUCCUCUAUUUACCUUCAACCCUCAAUUUUUACUGAAUGACCCCAUACCCGUAUGGAAAAUAUUAUGCUAGAACUAGUAACAAGAAGAUGAACUUCUCCAAAAUGCAAGCAUAAGCCAGAAUAAACCUCUGACCGGCACUCAUCGCUUUACCCACAGUAUUUCCCCCGCAAGAAAACCCUACUAACUUAAGCGUUAACCUUACACUAGAGCAUACAGGAAAGA
rnacentral:rRNA from 1 species